rnacentral:tRNA from 1 species
CCGUCGAUAGCUCAGUUGGUAGAGCGGAGGACUGUAGAGCAAACGCGCAGCUAUCCUUAGGUCGCUGGUUCAAAUCCGGCUCGACGGA